rnacentral:tRNA from 1 species
GAGUGCAGUGUUUAGCACGUCGGGCUGGGAUCCCAGGGGGACGCGGGUUCAAAUCCCCGCGAACGCCA